rnacentral:misc_RNA from 1 species
AACGCACAUUGCGCCCGCUAGUAUUCUGGCGGGCAUGCCUGUUCGAGCGUCAUUUCAACCAUCAAGCCCCCGGCUUGCGUUGGAGCCCUGCGGCUGCCGCAGGCUCCCAAAUACAGUGGCGGGCUCGUCGUCGUACCGAGUGCAGUAAACAUCCUCGCUCAGGGAACGCGUCGGGUUCUUGCCGUGAAACCCCCCCAUAUCAAGGUUGACCUCGGAUCAGGUAGGAAUACCCGCUGAACUUAA